ACUGAUGGUAAUGUUUUAAGUUUAAAAUGUUACUGAUGUAACGUUACUGAUGGUAACGUUUUAAGUUUAAAACGUUACUGUCGGUAA